CCGGGACAAGGAGCCAGGUGCCUCCUCCUCGGACCCUCCACCUGUCGCUAAAGUGCUUGAGCGCUGAGGUCGACUCUCCCUGUACUGCACGUACAGGGACGCCCCACCAGCAGUGGUCCCCUCUUCCUGUCUCUCCUCCUCUCAGCAACCACUUCAACAUUGACUUCCCCUCCACAAGGACCGGGACCUUGCCGUGGUGUGGAGGUUUCAUACAAACACCGGUCCACCCACCCUGCAACAACUCUUCUACAGGACAGUGACACUACGUUUCUUUAAAAAAAAAAAAAAAAAACAUUCUAUGUCUGCUGUGAUGUGAUGUAUGUGGUUUAAAAAAAAAAAAACAUCCACACCACUGUGUUCUGCAUUCUGCAUCUCUACACUGAACACUUAUGCCGUGUGUCUGCUCUGAUGUUUUUAUUUUUUAUUAUUGUUUUGUAGUUUAAAAUAAACAAUCUAUAUGUAUAAUAUAUAGAAUAUAUAACA